UACGAAGGGGGCUAGCGUUGUUCGGAUUUACUGGGCGUAAAGCGCACGUAGGCGGCCUGUUAAGUCAGGGGUGAAAUCCUGGAGCUCAACUCCAGAACUGCCCUUGAUACUGGCAGGCUCGAGUAUGGAAGAGGUUGGUGGAACUGCGAGUGUAGAGGUGAAAUUCGUAGAUAUUCGCAAGAACACCAGUGGCGAAGGCGGCCAACUGGUCCAUUACUGACGCUGAGGUGCGAAAGCGUGGGGAGCAAACAGGAUUAGAUACCCGGGUAGU
rnacentral:rRNA from 1 species